rnacentral:rRNA from 1 species
AGAGUUUGAUCCUGGCUCAGAUUGAACGCUGGCGGCAGGCCUAACACAUGCAAGUCGAACGGUAGCACAGAGGAGCUUGCUCCUUGGGUGACGAGUGGCGGACGGGUGAGUAAUGUCUGGGAAACUGCCCGAUGGAGGGGGAUAACUACUGGAAACGGUAGCUAAUACCGCAUAACGUCGUAAGACCAAAGAGGGGGACCUUCGGGCCUCUUGCCAUCGGAUGUGCCCAGAUGGGAUUAGCUAGUAGGUGGGGUAACGGCUCACCUAGGCGACGAUCCCUAGCUGGUCUGAGAGGAUGACCAGCCACACUGGAACUGAGACGCGGUCCAGACUCCUACGGGAGGCAGCAGUGGGGAAUAUUGCACAAUGGGCGCAAGCCUGAUGCAGCCAUGCCGCGUGUAUGAAGAAGGCCUUCGGGUUGUAAAGUACUUUCAGCGAGGAGGAAGGCAUUGUGGUUAAUAACCGCAGUGAUUGACGUUACUCGCAGAAGAAGCACCGGCUAACUCCGUGCCAGCAGCCGCGGUAA